UCAGGAUGAACGCUAGCUACAGGCUUAACACAUGCAAGUCGAGGGGCAGCAUUGGGAUAGCUUGCUAUUCCAGAUGGCGACCGGCGCACGGGUGAGUAACGCGUAUCCAACCGUUCCCUAUAGUAGAGAAUAGCCCGGCGAAAGUCGGAUUAAUGCUCUAUGUUGUGUUUUGAGGACAUCUGACGAACACCAAAGGUUCACCGCUAUAGGAUGGGGAUGCGUCUGAUUAGCUUGUUGGCGGGUAACGGCCACCAAGGCGACGAUCAGUAGGGGUUCUGAGAGGAAGGUCCCCACAUUGGUACUGAGACACGGACCAAACUCCUACGGGAGGCAGCAGUGAGGAAUAUUGGUCAAUGGGCGAGGGCCUGAACCAGCCAAGUAGCGUGCAAGGAUGACUGCCCUAUGGGUUGUAAACUGCUUUUAUCAGGGAAUAAAGUGCGGCACGUGUGCCGUUUUGUAUGUACCUGACGAAUAAGGACCGGCUAAUUCCGUGCCAGCCGCCGC
rnacentral:rRNA from 1 species